rnacentral:rRNA from 1 species
UACGGAGGGGGCUAGCGUUGUUCGGAAUUACUGGGCGUAAAGCGCGCGUAGGCGGACCUGCAAGUCGGGGGUGAAAGCCCGAGGCUCAACCUCGGAACUGCCUUCGAUACUGCGGGUCUCGAGUCCGGGAGAGGUGAGUGGAAUUCCUAGUGUAGAGGUGAAAUUUGUAGAUAUUAGGAAGAACACCAGUGGCGAAGGCGGCUCACUGGCCCGGUACUGACGCUGAGGCGCGAAAGCGUGGGGAGCAAACAGG